GAUGAACGCUGGCGGCGUGCCUAAUACAUGCAAGUCGAGCGAACGGACGAGAAGCUUGCUUCUCUGAUGUUAGCGGCGGACGGGUGAGUAACACGUGGAUAACCUACCUAUAAGACUGGGAUAACCUCGGGAAACCGGAGCUAAUACCGGAUAAUAUUUUGAACCGCAUGGUUCAAAAGUGAAAGACGGUCUUGCUGUCACUUAUAGAUGGAUCCGCGCUGCAUUAGCUAGUUGGUAAGGUAACGGCUUACCAAGGCAACGAUGCAUAGCCGACCUGAGAGGGUGAUCGGACAGACUGGAACUGAGACACGGUCCAGACUCCUACGGGAGGCAGCAGUAGGGAAUCUUCCGCAAGGGGCGAGAGCCUGACGGAGCAAAGCCGCGUGAGUGAUGAAGGUCUUCGGAUCGUAAAGCUCUGUUAUUAGGGAAGAACAUAUGUGUAAGUACCUGUGCACAUCUUGACGGUACCUAAUCAGAAAGCCACGGCUAACUACGUG
rnacentral:rRNA from 1 species